AGGCCUAACACAUGCAAGUCGGACGGUAGCACAGAGAGCUUGCUCUCGGGUGACGAGUGGCGGACGGGUGAGUAAUGUCUGGGAAACUGCCUGAUGGAGGGGGAUAACUACUGGAAACGGUAGCUAAUACCGCAUAACGUCGCAAGACCAAAGAGGGGGACCUUCGGGCCUCUUGCCAUCAGAUGUGCCCAGAUGGGAUUAGCUAGUAGGCGGGGUAAUGGCCCACCUAGGCGACGAUCCCUAGCUGGUCUGAGAGGAUGACCAGCCACACUGGAACUGAGACACGGUCCAG
rnacentral:rRNA from 1 species